rnacentral:rRNA from 1 species
UACGUAGGGGGCAAGCGUUGUCCGGAAUCAUUGGGCGUAAAGCGCGUGUAGGCGGCUUGGUAAGUCUGCUCUGAAAUCCCGGGGCUCAACCCCGGAACUGCAUUCGAUACUGCCUUGCUCGAGUUCGGGAGAGGUGAGUGGAACUGCGAGUGUAGAGGUGAAAUUCGUAGAUAUUCGCAAGAACACCAGUGGCGAAGGCGGCUCACUGGCCCGAUACUGACGCUGAGGCACGAAAGCGUGGGGAGCAAACAGG